GACGAACGCUGGCGGCGUGCUUAACACAUGCAAGUCGAACGGAAAGGCCCUGCUUUUGUGGGGUGCUCGAGUGGCGAACGGGUGAGUAACACGUGAGUAACCUGCCCUUGACUUUGGGAUAACUUCAGGAAACUGGGGCUAAUACCGGAUAGGAGCUCCUGCUGCAUGGUGGGGGUUGGAAAGUUUCGGCGGUUGGGGAUGGACUCGCGGCUUAUCAGCUUGUUGGUGGGGUAGUGGCUUACCAAGGCUUUGACGGGUAGCCGGCCGGAGAGGGUGACCGGCCACAUUGGGACUGAGAGACGGCCGAGACUCCUACGGGAGGCAGCAGGGGGGAAUAUUGCACAAUGGGCGGAAGCCUGAUGCAGCAACGCCGCGUGCGGGAUGACGGCCUUCGGGUUGUAAACCGCUUUCGCCUGUGACGAAGCGUGAGUGACGGUAAUGGGUAAAGAAGCACCGGCUAACGACG
rnacentral:rRNA from 1 species